ACAGCAAUAUCAUGUUGGAACACCGGUUCUCAUACAAUCACCAAAGUUAAGCAAUGUUGAGCCUGGUUAGUACCUAGAUUGAUUACCACUUGGGAAUUCCAGGUGCUGUAAG